GCCCGGAUAGCUCAGUCGGUAGAGCAUUGGACUU
rnacentral:ncRNA from 2 species